CUGGCGGCAUGCUUAACACAUGCAAGUCGAACGAAGACCCGGAGCUUGCUCCGGAUUUCUUAGUGGCGAACGGGUGAGUAACGCGUGGGAAUCUACCUAAAAAUGGGGAAUAACUAUUGGAAACGAUAGCUAAUACCGCAUAAGCCCUCAGGGGUAAAGGCUUCGGUCGUUUUUAGAUGAGCCCGCGUUAGAUUAGGCUGUUGGUGAGGUAAUGGCUCACCAAACCUACAAUCUAUAGCUGGUCUGAGAGGAUGAUCAGCCACACUGGGACUGAGACACGGCCCAGACUCCUACGGGAGGCAGCAGUGGGGAAUAUUGGACAAUGGGGGAAACCCUGAUCCAGCAAUGCCGCGUGAGUGACGAAGGCCUUAGGGUUGUAAAACUCUUUCAGAAGUGAAGAUGAUGACGGUAACUUCAGAAGAAG
rnacentral:rRNA from 1 species